GCCAGGUGUGGUGGCGCACACCUGUGGUCCCAGCUAGUUGGGAGGUUGAGGCGGGAGGAUGGCUUGAGCCCAGGAGGUUGAGGCUGCAGUGAACCGUGACUGUGCCACUGCACUCCAGCCUGGGCGACAGAGCCAGAUGCUGUCUCAA
rnacentral:SRP_RNA from 1 species